rnacentral:lncRNA from 1 species
AGGGGGCACUAUGGGGUAGCUAUGGGGAGAGGUGGGGCGGCUAUGGGGCGCUGUGGGGCAGUUAUGGGGUGGUAUGGAGUGGCUAUGGGGCACUAUGGGAUGGCUAUGGGGAGCUAUGGGGUGACUAUGGGGAGUUAUGGGGCGCUAUGGGGUGCUAUGGGGCUGCUAUGGAGCAGCUAUGGUGCAGUUAUGGGGAAGAGCUAUGGGGUGGGGCUAUGGGGCAGAGCUGUGGGGCAGCACUGUAGGGCACACACUUAUGGGGCAGCCCCACAGCUCGAGGUACACACUUAUGGGGCAGCCCCUGACCCACAUGCGCACACUUAUGGGGCAGCGCCCCAAUCCCCACUAUGCAAUCUAUGGGGCAGCCCUGGACCCACAGAUGUACACUUAUGGGGCAGCCCCACAGCUUGAGGUACACACUUAUGGGGCAGCCCCUGACUCACACACUCACGCUUAUGGGGCAGCCCCCAGAUGCACACUUAUGGGGCAGCCUCUGACCCACAGAUGCACACUUAUGGGGAAGCCUCUGACCCACAUACACACACUUAUGGGGCAGCCCCACAACUGCUGCUAUGCAAUCUAUGGGGCAGCCCUGGACCCACAGAUGUACUUAUGGGGCAGCCCCACAGCUCGAGGUAUACACUUAUGGGGCAGCCCCUGACUCGCACACUCACACUUAUGGGGCAGCCCCCCCAAUCCCCACUAUGCAAUCUAUGGGGCAGUCCCACAGAUGUGCACACAUAGGGGUCAGCUCCUGACCCACAUACACACACUUAUGGGGCAGCCCCACAACUGCUGCUAUGCAAUCUAUGGGGCAGCCCUGGACCCACAUACGCACACUUAUGGGGCAGCCCUGGACCAAAACGCACUUAUGGGGCAGCCUCUGACCCACAUAUUCACACUUAUGGGGCAGCCCCACAACUGCUGCUAUGCAAUCUAUGGGGCAGCCCCCUGACCCACAUAUGCACACUUAUGGGGCAGCCCCACAGCCCCCACUAUGCAAUCUAUGGGGCAGCCCCCGACCCACAUAUUCACACUUACGGGGCGGCCCCCAAAUCUAUGUGCCCCCCCCUCCGUUGUGCCCCACACCUCCAGCCCCCAAACCAUUGCUCACCCCCCCCCGUGCCCCAUAGCGCUGCCCCCCCCGCCCCAU